rnacentral:rRNA from 1 species
AGGACGAACGCUGGCGGCGUGCUUAACACAUGCAAGUCGAGCGGAAAGGCCCUUCGGGGUACUCGAGCGGCGAACGGGUGAGUAACACGUGAGUAAUCUGCCCCUAGCUCUGGGAUAGCUCCGGGAAAACCGGGAUUAAUACCGGAUACGACCACUUUAGACAUCUGUUGUGGUGGAAAGAAUUUUGGCUAGGGAUGAGCUCGCGGCCUAUCAGCUUGUUGGUGGGUAACGGCCUACCAAGGCGACGACGGGUA